rnacentral:lncRNA from 1 species
CUCAGCAAACUUCCCAAAUACAUUGAGUGUAGUUUGUAUUUAGAAAGAAUACGGUUAAUGUUUAGUCCAAAAAUUAUGUAGUAGUCAUCGUUCUUAUUUCAGGAGACUGAAAUGACAACAAGGAUAAUAUUGAGGUUUGUUAAAACAGUGGAAAUAUUUGAAAUGUAUAUGUAUGUGUUUAUUUGGCCUUAAGAGGUUUGUUUGGGUGUUUGUUUUUUUUUUAUCUUUAAAGGCAGUUAAAUGUUUCUAUUUUAUUUCUUCUUCAAUGGCAUUAUAGACUUUUUAAAUGGAACAAAAUUUAGUUGAAAUAAAUUUUUUCAUCUCC